rnacentral:rRNA from 1 species
UCUAAGGCUGCCCAGACUGUCCUGAUUAACUCUUCCCUGUCCAGCAUACUCCUCUUCAUGAUUAGCUUCUAUAGCCUGCCUGAGACGCUUCAUCAUGAGAUUGCCAUGGUCCAGGCGCGGUUCUUCUGGGCAGGCGAGGGUGAUAAGCAGCAUAUGGUUCAUUGGACCGAGGUAUGCAAGCCUCGUGAGCAGGGUGGGCUUGGGAUCAUGUCCUCCAAAGGCAUGAAUAUCGCUCCGCUCACCCGCUGGCUUUGGAGGAUUGCCAAUGGGGAGGUUGGCCUUUGGUUGCGCAUAAUUCAGAAUAAAUACUUACAUGGCCAGCCCCUCGGCUUCUACCAGCGGUCCGGCGCAUCACAGUUCUGGCAGUCCGUCAUCCAGCUUCUCCCGGUCCUUCGCAUCGGGACCUCUAUCGCGGUUGGCUCUAGCGCGUCCACCUUGUUCUGGUUUGAUCGCUGGGCCGGCAAGGCCCCCUUUGCUGCGCGUUUCCUGGACCUGUUCGCCAUCGCGGUCGAGCCUAGUAUCUCGGUUGAGGUGGCUCUUAUUGACGUAGGAUGCCUCGCAUUCUGGCGGCCAUUUGGGCCUAUGGACGCGAUCGCAUGGCAGGACGUCCUAGAUUUCAUCGCCUUACAUGAGGCAGAUGUGGAAUAG